rnacentral:rRNA from 1 species
GACGAACGCUGGCGGCGCGCUUAACACAUGCAAGUCGAACGGAAAGGCCUGCUUUCCCUUGUGGAUUGCGGGUACUCGAGUGGCGAACGGGUGAGUAACACGUGAGUGAUCUGCCCCCAACUUGGGUAUAAGCCUGGGAAACUGGGUCUAAUUCCCGAUAGGACUGCAGGGUGGUGCCUGUGGUGGAAAACGAUUUUCUAGUGGUUGGGGAUGAGCUCGCGGCCUAUCAGCUUGUUGGUGGGGUAAUGGCCUACCAAGGCGGCGACGGGUAGCCGGCCUGAGAGGGUGGACGGCCACAUUGGGACUGAGAUACGGCCCAGACUCCUACGGGAGGCAGCAGUGGGGAAUAUUGCACAAUGGGCGGAAGCCUGAUGCAGCGACGCCGCGUGGGGGAUGACGGCCUUCGGGUUGUAAACUCCUUUCGACCGCGAGGAAGCCACCUGGUUGGAAGGGUGGUGACGGUAGUGGUAGAAGAAGCACCGGCGAACUACGU